UUCAUUAACUCACCAGGUUGCCCUUCCCUCUCUCGACGUCGAGCAUGCUUCAAGAGACGGCGACCUCAAUCUCCUUCCUUCCUUGGAUGUGCUAUGUAAGUUCAAAUUCCAGAAAAAAUACAAAUCAUUCAAAGGAGAUUACUUUCCAGUAGUUAGGGGCCGCAAAAUGCAGCCAUGACACACAUAUUAGACAUGUGCAUUCAACUUAAAGGGUGACUAAUGACUAAAAGGGAAUACAAAAUAUCAUAUUUUGUACAACAUAUCAUUUUUUAGGCUUUUGCAACCAGUGAGGAGAAGUGGUGGGUGUGUUCACCCCUCCUGCUCCUCAUUCUCGAGCAGGACAAGGUCGGUGGCUACAUAAUGAGGAGACGUCCUGGUAUACUUGACAAAUAACAGCAAAUUUGUAAUGUGGGCCUGUUGGCUCUUGAACGUGCGUAUGCAGCUGUACAGGCGUGCCUACGCGNNNNNNNNNNNNNNNNNNNNNNNNNNNNNNNNNNNNNNNNNNNNNNNNNNNNNNNNNNNNNNNNNNNNNNNNNNNNNNNNNNNNNNNNNNNNNNNNNNNNCUCCCAUUGCAAGAAUCAUAGAUCUAGUUGGCCAAACAAAACCCAAGACUCGGAGAGACUUACAAGGAUAUCAAAUCAUGCAUAUAAGAAAUCAGCAAAGACUCAAAUAUAUAUCAUAGAUAAUCUGAUCACGAGUCCACAAUUCAUCGGAUCUCGACAAACACACCCCCAAAGAAGAUUACAUCGGAUAGAUCUCCAUGAAGAUCAUGGAGAACUUUGUAUUGAAGAUCCAAGAGAGAGAAGAAGCCAUCUAGCUACUAACUACGGACCCGUAGGUCUGAAGUGAACUACUCACAAGUCAUUGGAGGGGCGAUGCUGAUGAUGAAGAAGCCCUCCAGCUCCAAAGUCCCCUCCGGCAGGGUGCCGGGAAGGGUCUCGAGAUGAGAUCUCGCGGAAACUGAAGCUUGCGGCGGCGAAAAAGUAUUUUCGAGGCUCCCCUGAUUUUUUAAGGAAUAUUUGGGAAUUUAUAGGCCAAAGACCUAGGUCAGGGGGCGGCCAGGGAGGCCACAAGCCUGCCCACCGCCGCCCCCCUGGUGGCGGAGUGGGGGCUUGUGGGCUCCCUGGNNNNNNNNNNNNNNNNNNNNNNNNNNNNNNNNNNNNNNNNNNNNNNNNNNNNNNNNNNNNNNNNNNNNNNNNNNNNNNNNNNNNNNNNNNNNNNNNNNNNGUGAAUAAAAAUAUAGCCCCAAGUAACGUUACCGAUGGAUUGAAGACGAGAGAGGGGAUGCCUUCCCGGGGCAUCCCCAAGCUUAGGCUUUUACGGCAUCCUUGAAUAUCUUUGGGUGCCUUAGGCAUCCCCAAGCUUGAGCUAUUGCCACUCUUUAUCUUUUUGUCCAUAAGAACUUCACCCAAAACUUGAAAACUUCACAACACGAAACUUAAACAGAAACUCGUGAUAACAUUAGUACAAGAAAGCAAACCACCACUUCCCUAGGUACUGUAGAAAACUUACAUUCUACUUGUGCUGAUGUUGGGUUACUGUACUUUCAAUCUUCCAUGGCUAAUACCCCCCGAUACUAUCCAUAGUUUCAUCAAAAUAAGCAACCAACACAACAAAAACAGAAUCUGUUAACAGCAGACCAGUCUGUAGCAAUCUGUAUGUUUUGUAUAUCUCUGGUACUUCAAAAAUUCGGAAACAUUACGACAGUCUAAAGAAUUUGCAUAGAAAUCCUCAGAAAAAAGAAUCAACUCAAAAGCUCUCACAGAAAAAAAAAAUCUUUUCGUGAGCAGAAAGUUUCUGUCUUUUCCAGCAUGAUCUAACGAUCAUCCCAAGACUAAUCAUAACGGUUUUGCUUGGCACAAACGCAAAAAGAAACACAAAAAACACAAUCAUAAAAGAAUUAUGGAAGUGUGGAAAACACAAAAUGGAAAGAAAAAAGAUAGAUUCCUUGGGUUGCCUCCCAACAAGCGCUUUUGUUUAACGCCCUUAGCUAGGCAUUCAAUGAUGCUCUCACAAAAGACAAGAAUUAAAGCACAACGAGAGCAUCCUAAAGCAUGUGAAAACCAAAUCUAAGUCUAACAUACUUCAUAUGCAUAGCCAUUUUAUAGGAAAACAGAUUGUCAAGACAACCAAUAGUUUCCAUAUGCAAGGAAGAAGAAAGAGACAAGAGCAAUCUCAACAUCACGAGAGGUGAUUUGGUAACAUGAAAGUUUCUACCAAAAUAUUUUCCUCUCUCAUAGCAAUUACAUGUGGGAUCAUAUUCAAAUUCAACAAUAUAGCUAUCCCAUAGGAUAUUCUUUUCAUGAUCCACAUGCAUGCAAAGUUGACGCUCUUCAAAAAUAGUGGGAUUAUCAUCAAAUAAAGUCAUGACUUCUCCAAUCCCACUUUCAAUAUUGUUGCAAAUAUCAUAUUCAUCAUGAGGUUUGAACAAAUUUUCAAGAUCAUAAGAAAGAUCAUCACCCCAAUCAUGAUUAUUGCAAUAAGUAGUGGUCAUAGCAAAACUAGCAUCCCCAAGCUUAGGGUUUUGCAUACUCUUAACAUGAUUGUCACUAAUAGAAUUUAUAGUGAAACCAUUGCAAUCAUGCUUUUCAUGCAAGGAACCCUCGUGAAUCCCUUCAUGAAAUUCUUCCUCACAAUUUUCAGAUUCACGCAUCUUAUGCAAAACUCCAAAGAAAUUGUCAAUUGCCCUCAACUCACUAGCAAUUUGUUCCACACGAGUGGGUCUCUUAAAGAGACUAGCAAGUGAAUGAGGAUCCAUAUCACUAGAUUUUCAGCAAGCGAAAAUGCAAGCAUAUUGAGGGCACAUGGCACACAAGCGAACAGAAAGCAAGCGAGAGAAAAGGGCGAACGAAAAAGGCAAAGGAGAAAGGCAAAUGAAAAUGGGAAAAGUGCAGUGGGGGAGAGGAAAACGAGAGGCAACUAGCAACAAAAGUAAAUGCAAGAGAAGAGUUUGUGAGACCUACUUGGAUAGAUCUUGAUUUCUCCUCCCCGGCAACGGCGCCAGAAAUACUUCUGAUGUUUGCUAUCUAUCCCUUGCAACGGCGCCAGAAAUAGUUGUGUCGACGGCACCAGGAAUCCUUCAGCUACAUCUACGCCUUAAGGGACUUCCUAGGCAAGUAUGCAAAGGCUUUCCCCCGUGGCCUUGGAGCCUUGCGUUGGUGUUCCCUCGAAGCGGAAAGGGUGAUAUAGCAUAGCGACGGUAAGUAUUUCCCUCGGUUUGAGAACCAAGGUAUCAAUCCGGCGGAAGAGUAUCUCAAGAUCCUGCACAAACACAAAAAGCUUGCACCAAACGCUAUGAACGGGUUGUCAAUCCCUUACAGAUUGUUUGCCAGGUGANCUGAAGUGAACUACUCACAAGUCAUUGGAGGGGCGAUGCUGAUGAUGAAGAAGCCCUCCAGCUCCAAAGUCCCCUCCGGCAGGGUGCCGGGAAGGGUCUCGAGAUGAGAUCUCGCGGAAACUGAAGCUUGCGGCGGCGAAAAAGUAUUUUCGAGGCUCCCCUGAUUUUUUAAGGAAUAUUUGGGAAUUUAUAGGCCAAAGACCUAGGUCAGGGGGCGGCCAGGGAGGCCACAAGCCUGCCCACCGCCGCCCCCCUGGUGGCGGAGUGGGGGCUUGUGGGCUCCCUGGAGCCCACCUGGCUUGGCCCAAAAGCCCCCUGGACUUCUUUCGUUCGGGAAAAAAUCAUUUCGGGGUUUUUCUUCCGUUUGGACUCUGUUCCAAAAUCAGAUCUGAAAAGAGUCAAAAACACGGAGAAAACAGGAACUGGCACUUGGCACUGAAUUAAUAAGUUAGUCCCAAAAAGAUAUAAAAAGGUACAUAAAACCUACAAAGAAGGCAAGAUAACAGCGUGAAACCAUCAAAAAUUAUAGAUAUGUUUGACACGUAUCAAGACAAUGCUACUACCUUUCCACACUUGUGCUUAUUAAGCACCAUGAUCUUCAUGAUUGAGAGUCUCUCGUUUUGUCACCACCAUAUAGUUAGUGGGAAAUUUUCAUUAUAUAACUUGGCUUGUAUAUUCCAAUGAUAGGCUUCCUCAAAAUUGCAUUAGGUCUUCGUGAGCAAGCAAGUUGGAUGCACACCCACUAGUUUUCCUUAAGAGCUUUCACAUACUCUUAUCUCUAGUGCAUCAUUUGUAUGGCAAUCCCUACUCAUUCACAUUGAUAUCUAUUGAUGAGCAUCUCCAUAGCUCAUUGAUAUGCCUAGUUAAUGUAACCAUCUUCUCCUUGUUUGUCUUGCAACCUCCACCACACUCCAUUCCACUUAUAGUGCUAAAACCAUGGCUCACGCUCAUGUAUUGCGUGAGAGUUGAAAAAGUUUGAGAAAGUAAAAGUGUGAAAACAAUUACUUGGCCAAUACUCAGGUUGUGCAUGAUUUCAAUUCGUUGUGCAAGGAUGAUAGAGCAUAGCCAGACUAUAUGAUUUUGUAGGGAUACCUUUCUUUUGGCCUUGUUAUUUUGAAAGUUCAUGAUUACCUUGCUAGUUUGCUUGAAGUAUUAUUGUCUCCACGUCAAUAGCAAACUAUUGUUUUGAAUCUAAUGGAUCUGAACAUUCACGUCACAUAAGAGGAGUUACAACGGACAUCUAUGCUAGGUAGCAUGAAAGCAUCAAAAAUUCAUUCUUUAUCACUUCCCUACUCGAGGACGAGCAGGAGUUAAGCUUGCGGAUGCUUGAUACGUCUCAAAUGUAUCUAUAAUUUUUGAUGGUUUCAUGUUGUUAUCUUGUCAACUUUGGAUGUUUUAUGUACCUUUUACAUCUUUUUUGGGACUAACUUAUUAAUUCAGUGCCAAGUGCCAGCUCUUGUUUUUUCUGUGUUUUUAGCUCUUUUCAGAUCUGAUUUUGGAACGGUGUCCAAACGGAAUAAAAUCCCCAAAAUAAAUUUUUCCACAACAGAAGAAGAUCGGGGGACUUAAGGGCCAAGGCAGGAGAGCCACAGGGGGGCCACAAGCCCUGUAGCCGCCACCAGGGGGCGGCGGUUACCAAGCUUGUGGCCCCCCUGGAGCUCCCCUGCCCUAGCCCUUUGGCCUAUAAAUUCCCUAAAAUCCCAGAAAAAAUCAGGGUGUCCUCGAAACCACUUUUCCGCCGCCGCAAGCUUCCGUUUCCGCGAGAUCUCAUCUGGAGACCCUUCCCGGUGCCCUGCCGGAGGGGACUUUGGAGUUGGAGGGUUUCUACAUCAACAUCAUCGCCUCUCCAAUGACUCGUGAGUAGUCCACUUCAGACCUACGGCUCCGUAGUUAGUAGCUAGAUGGCCUCUUCUCUCUCUUGGAUCUUCAAUACAAAGUUCUCCAUGAUCUUCAUGGAGAUCUAUCCGAUGCAAUCUUCUUUGGCGGUGUGUUUGUCAAGAUCCGAUGAAUUGUGGAUUUCUAAUCAGAUUAUCUAUGAAUUAUAUUUGAGUCUUUGUUGAUUUCUUAUUUGCAUGAUUUGAUAUCCUUGUAAGUCUCUCCGAAUCUUGGGUUUUGUUUGGCCAACUAGAUCUAUGAUUCUUGCAAUGGGAGAAGUGCUUGAUUUUGGGUUCAUACCGUGCGGUGACCUUUCCCCGUGACAGAAGGGGCAACAAGGCACGCAUCAUGUUGUUGCCAUCAAGGAUAACAAGAUGGGCUUUCAUCAUAGAUUUGAGAUUGUCCGUCUACAUCAUGUCAUCUUGUUUAAGGUGUUACUCUGUUCUUAUGAACUCAAUACACUAGAUGCAUGCUGGAUAGCGGUCGGCUUGUGGAGUAAUAGUAGUAGAUUCAGAAAGUAUCGGUCUACUUGCUUUGGACGUGAUGCCUAUAGAUAUGAUCAUUGCCAUAGAUAACGUCAUGACUUUGCGCGGUUCUAUCAAUUGCUCGACAGUAACUCGUUCACCCACCGUCUACUUGCUUUCAUGAGAGAAGCCACUAGUGAACACUACGGCCCCCGGGUCUAUUCACAACUAUCGUCUCCACUUUUACUUUUACUUUGAUUUGUUUACUUUUUGCUUUCAGUUCUCACUUUGCAAACAAUCUAUAAGGGAUUGACAACCCCUUCGUAGCAUUGGGUGCAAGCUCUUUGUAUUUGUGCAGGUACUUGUGACUUGACACGAUCCUCCUACUGGAUUGAUACCUUGGUUCUCAAACUGAAGGAAAUACUUACUGCCGCUGUUCUACAUCACCCUUUCCGCUUCAAAGGAACACCAACGCAAGGCUCCAAGGCCGCGGGGAAAUCCUUUGCAUAUUUGCCAAGGAAGUCCUUGUAGGCGUAGCCCAUAGCAGAAGGAUUCCUGGCGCCGUUUCCAGGGAAGGUCUUUUGUUGUCGUAGCAGGCCUUCUCUUGUGAGACAGCCCUCCUGGCCUCUCUUUGAGUCGCCUUAUGCACUACAAGAAAUAAGGUCAAUUAUGACUCCCUAUAUUGGUCAUUGAUUCGUCAUUGUUGUCGUUUAUUGACCUCUUUUUGACCAAAUUUACAAGGUCAACAGUUGGCCGUCAAGAAUGAACAAACCUGACCUUUCUAAAAAUUUGGUCAUAGGUCUCUAUCGACCAAAAUUUUGGUUUGGUCAUUACCCAUUUGUGUGAGCCAUGUAGGAUUUAACGUGGCCAAGCUGACGUGACAUUGCUAGUGACCAAAUGGAAUCAUCAUAAAUUUCAGAUCCCUGUCCACCAAUCUAGCCUACACGGGCCUGGCCCAAUACCUAUUUUACUAUUGAAAAUGUCUGAUUUGUUUGGGUUGAAGCAUUUUUUUUGCUAGAAGCACCCAUAUCUCAGGAUAGGCACAUUAAAAAUAAGUACAACAGAAUAAAAGAUUGCAAAUAAAAUGUAUAUUUCAUUUCAAUAGCAUAUCACAUCAAAUACAAUACAUCAUCCACCGACUCCACGCAUUAAGGUUCAACGCCUAACAAGGGCACAUCAAAAUAAUUUUACAUGUGCACAACAGAAUACUUAUGCAGGUGCAAGCGCACAAAAAAAGACCCAACAAGUGCACAAUCGCACAUAAAGAGAGUUCCACGAAGAUUGGAUGAGAACCACUAGUUUCUUCUCAUCCUCUCCCUCUGCACAAUAUGCUCUUGCCAUUGCCGCCUGCAAUAAGAAAAUGAUGUUAAGGCUUUGAGACCAAAGAAACUAGUAAAAUUACACGCACGAUAACCAAUGAUAAAACAGUAGAAAAUUGUUUUCUCAUUCAUCUAGUUAUGACUUACGAAGUGGAGUGGGAAACUACUCACAGACGAGAACCACCGUGCACUUUUUUCAAGGGAAACCCACCAUAAACUUGUGAGGUAAUUUUAGUUCAUAGACUCGAGGAACCAAACCAGCACACCAAAUCUACCGUAAAGCUAAAAGAACUUCGACAAGCUCUUUGACCAACAAGUGUAAUAUGAGUUUUUGUACGCCACCAGAAAGGCUGGUCUAUUAAUCAAACAUAUGAAAAUAUGAUUAUUUUUUUACUAACAUUAUCCUACAAAUUUUGGCAUUUCAUGUUAAGGAUAUCUGAAGCUAUUCAGGCAAGGCAUAAAAAUUAAAAUAUUCAGUGACUGUGACACAUCUAGUCAGUGUACUUUUACAUAUCAAAACAAAUAUAAAUGGCAGAUAUCGCUCAUGGCAAGUAAUGACCCCACACUCAUUUAAGAAAAUCAGAGAACAAGAAUUGUAUGUUUUUCUGCCAAAACUAUACUCUGGUUUGUUGCACUUUGUUCUGUAAGAGAAAACAAAAGAAAUUUACCUCCAAACAUAAGCAGAAUUAAACUGGCCCUUUCCAUUGUAAAUUACUAUCCCAUAUAUGUUGGAAUGCCAAGGGGAGACACAACUUGCUUUUUCAGAUGGUAGCAUGUGUUUACACGGAAAAGAAACAAAUUCAGUUGAAGUGAGAAACAUAGACAACAAGAACAUAAACAUUUUUUUCUGUACCACCACAAAUUCAGUUAAAGCUGGCUCGUCUAGGUACAAGAAAUCAAAUCUCACUAACUCUGUAACUUUGGAGCAUCAAAAUUAAAAUGGUUUGAAAAAUAGGAAUCAACAUCUCACAGCCAAUCAAAAGGAAGCUAUAUGAGCUUGGCAUGACAAAACCAAGAUUCUUCUAGCAACGCCCCCAAAUUGCCAUGAUGACAGUACACUAGGCAGAUGGGUUCCGUCUUAAGUAACAAUUCAGAAUUUCAGAUUUCACAGGACAAGCACAGUAGGUUAGUGUAAUUCAGCACAAGCAUAUGCUACCUUCACAUCAGUGUCCUGCUGUUGGCGUGCAACCACUCGACAGACACGACAGGCUUGGUUUGUGGGACCAUGCAGGGAACUUGUGGCCUUUAUCUCAAACUCAGGACGGUGCAGUCUAAGUAGGGAACGACACAUGCAUAUGGCUGGGUCAAUCGAUCAUAAUUCUUCACCCUAGGCCACUAAUAGACUUUAUAUAUAUAUAUAUAUANUUGCUUUGUAUUGCUUUUCGUUUUUCUGGUGUUACAAUCAACACCCCUAGGGUGUCUUUUAUACACGUCCACAAGGGGCUAUGGAAAUAGACUAGGACUAGGAAUCCUAAUACUACUAGGACUCGGUUUGGCUUUCUUUCCUAAUCCUAAAGAAACAACAUGAUUAACUUCUAUAUUCACCUCCUUAAUCUUGUUGCUUGACUUCACUUCUUGCACUCCGACUUUCCUCCUCAUCUCGAUGAACUUCUGUCGAUCGAGGGACUUGGUGAAAAUAUCGGCAAGUUGGUCUUUUGUGUUCACAUGUUGAACCUCGAUCAACCCUUCUUCAAUGCACUCCCGGAUAUGGUGGAACCGGGUAUCUAUGUGCUUGCUCCUUUCGUGAUGAACCGGAUUUUUGCACAACGAGAUUGCAGCUUGGUUAUCGAUCUUCAGUGACACCUUCUACACCUCCCGCUUUCCAAGAAUAGCUAGGAGUCUUCUCAGCCACACUGCUUGACAAGCCGCCGUGCUUGCCGCUAUGUAUUCUGCCUCGCAUGAAGACAGUGCCACCACCUUUUGCUUCUGAGAAUUCCAGCUAAUCGGAUUCGGGCCAAGGUAGAAAACCAUGCCUGUUGUGCUCUUUCGGUCAUCAACAUCACCUGCCAUGUCACUAUCUGAAUAUGCACGAAGGAUCAAUCCUUCCUUUCCCUUUCUGUACGUGCAGCCAAGAUUAAUUGUGCCGCGCUCAUGUGUUCGGUUGUCGGAUUCUCCAUGAAACGACUCACGAUCCCGACUGAAUAAGCCAAGUCAGGUCGGGUAUGCACCAAAUAUCUUAGGCUGCCCACAACGCUUCGAUACAUUGUGGUGUCCACCGGCGGAUUUGAGCUACGCUUGCUCAACUUGUGACGUUGGUCCAUUGGAACUUGUGUCGCGUAGCAAUCUGACAUGCCACACUUGUCCAAUAACUUGACCGCAUAAGCCGAUUGACAUAGGGAAAUCUCUCCGGAGCUUUGCUUCACUUCGAUGCCCAAGUAAUAGCUGAGUAAUCCCAGAUCACUCAUGCUAAACUUUUUCUUCAUUUGCGCCUUGAAACGUUCAAUUUCUUGUACGCUAUCUCCGGUGAUAAUCAGAUCGUCGACAUAAACUCCAACUAGCAGGUUUGAGCCUUUGGAGUUCUUUGUAUAGACUGCGUGCUCGAGGGGACAUCUCUUGAAGCCGAGCGAGACCAAACUCCGGUCUAACUUUGAGUUCCAAGCUCGUGGCGCUUGCUUCAACCCGUAAAGUGCCUUCUUGAGCUUGUAAACUUUCCCUUCUUCACCUUUCUUCUCGUAGCCGAGGGGUUGUUCUACGUACACUUCUUCUGUGAGAUCGCCGUUGAGGAAAGCGGAUUUAACAUCCAUAUGAUGAACCUUCCAAUCCUCUUGUGCUGCCAAAGCUAGGAGCGCUCUCACCGUCUCGAUUCAAGCAACCGGUGCAAACACCUCAUCAUAGUCAACUCCUUGACGUUGAACGUAGCCCUUUGCAACGAGUCUUGCCUUGUACUUCACAACGGCACCCUCCGUGUCCUUCUUUAACCUGCAAACCCACUUCAAACCUAUCGUCUUUUGGUUUGGAGGUCGGGUUACCAAAGUCCACGUGCCAUUGCUCUCAAUUGCCUUCAUCUCCUCAUCCAUGGCGUGCGUCCAGCUAGGACUUUUGCUCGCCUGUACGAAGUUCGCCGGCUCCUCAACUCCGAACAGACAUAGUCCCGAGUACUCGAGCGUAACUGGCUUUGUGUACUUGUAGACUUUCUUGAGGGUCUUGUAGCGACGAGGCCCUGAGGAAUCCGUUGUGGCUUGCGAAGGAGGCGACACAAAUUGUGUCAGUGUUGAUGCACUGGAGGAAGACGGCUGAGACCCUGGUGUGUCAUAGACAUCCGUGUCGUCGGCGUAGUCGUCGUGACCGUGACCAUCAUCUUGAUUGUCGUCGUCACUAUGCGCCUCGUUGUCGAUGUUGUCAUCGAGAUCUCCGCCUGUGUCGUGCGCGGCGUUGUCGCUAUCUCCUUGCGACCUAUGCGCGUCGUCGUCGGUGUCGGCACCAUGAUGAUCACUACCAUUGUGGUCACCUUGGUUGGGCGUCUUGCCAACCACCUGGACAUCCUCCCCUGCAUCAUCAUCAGUUGGAAAUUCAACUGCAAAUAUGUUACUGUUUGGAGCAUCGUCGGCUGCGGCGCUCCAAUUCCACGCUUGGUUUUCUUCAAACACGACGUCGCAUGAAAUCCGUAGACGCUUGGUUUGUGGAUCGUAGAAACGGUAUGCCUUGGUGCCAGAACUGCUCUCGUAUCCGAUGAACACCAUCUUGGUGCUACGAUCGGCAAGCUUUGAGAGGUGCGGCUCCACCGUCUUCACAUGUGACACGCACCCAAAUGUCCGUAGAUGAGACACAUUCGGCUUACGUCCGUAAAUUGCUUCAUACGGAGUCUUGCCGAUCACCACCUUCGUUGGAGCCCGGUUGAGAAGAUAGACCGCCGUCGAGACAGCUUCUCAACAAAAAGUCCCCGGCAGGUUCUUGCUCUUGAGUAAACUCCCUGCCAUGUCAACGACGGUUCGAUUGCGCCUUUCAACGACCCCAUUCUGCUGCGGCGUGUAAGGUGCCGUGAGGAACCUCUUUAUGCCAAUCUUCUUGCAGUAGUCGUUGAACUCAUUCGACGUAAACUCUCCGCCGCGAUCUGUCCGUAGAGCGCGAACCUUCAGCUUGUGUUCCAUCUCUGUUGCAGCCUUCAGCUUCUUGAAUGCUUCAAACGCCUCAUCUUUAGAUCGUAGGAGAAUGACCCACAUAUAUCUCGAGUAGUCGUCUACCACAAGGAAGAAAUACUUCUUUCCAGCGUGAGUUGCCGGGGUGAUAGGGCCACAUAGAUCACCAUGGAGCAGCUUGAGUGCAUCACUUGCACGAUAGGUAGACUAAGCAGGGAAUGGCCUGCGGUGCUGUUUUCCAACCAAGCACCCAUCACAUACUCGAUCAACAUGGUCGAUACCUGGCAUCCCGGAUACCAUCUCCAUCUUUGACAUCUUCUUCAAGGCGUAGAAGUUAACGUGUCGAAAUCUAGCAUGCCAUAACCACGAAUCAUCAUCACUCUUGGCGAGCCAACACUCCGGUUGAGAUUGAUCAAGGUUGAGGAUAUAUAGCCUAUUCCGUGUGCGAUUAACACGAGCUAGCACGUUUCGGAGGUUGUCGAAGAUCGUCAUCACUCCGCUCUCGAUAUUCACCUUGCAUCCAUUCUCAUCAAGCUUCCCAAUAGAGAUGAUGUUGUUGCGCAGUCGUGGAAUGUAGUACACUCCGGUGAGUAUGCGAUGUGCGCCUGUGAGACCCUCAAAGAGGACAGAUCCUUGCCCACAAAUCUCCACAGCUGAACCAUCACCGAACUUGACCGAGCCUUCAACAUCGUAUUCCAGCUCGAGGAAUUUCUCCUUGCACCCCGUCAUGUGGUUACUAGCACCCGUGUCGAGAUACCACGACACGUUCUGAUCAUCGGAUAACUUUGGUGUCACUCUUUCCUCAUGAAGUAGCACCUUCCGGCUUGGUCUCACAACCACCGUUUCAGCGAGAUCACAAACUUCGGCCAUCAGAAGACCGGACCUUCGUCUUCCUGCUUUGCCAAAUUUGCCUUGAUCUCCCGCUUGUUAGGCUUUGGACAAUCCUUCGCAAAGUGACCCAUCUUAUUGCAGUUAUAGCACUUGACCUCGGACAAGUCCAAGUUCCGUGGUUUCUGCUCUUUAGAUUGGCCCGCCUUACCACAACCUUGUGGUUUGCCUUUUCCUUUGCCUUUUCCGGUUUGUCCAUCGCCCUUCGUGUUGCUUGAGCCUUCGCCACCAUCACACCUUCCUUUGCUACUUGGGGCCUUCCAAUCUGCGCGCGAGUACAUGAGUUGGUCGCUACCUCCUCCUUUGCCUUUCCGACAGCCACGAGCAUUCUAUUCCCAUGUCCGCAAGCGUCCGAUUGCCUCCGUUAUGGUCAUGUCGUCGAUGUCGUAAAGCUGCUCGAGCGUGCCGAUGAUGUACGUGAAUUUAUCAGUCACUGAACUGAAAAAUUUCUCCACAAUCUCGGUCUCCUCGAGCUUUGCACCAAGCACGCGGAUCUCUCCCACCAAAGUAGUAAGACGCAUGGCAUAGUCAUUCAUCGAUUCAGUUUCCUCCAUCUGCAACUUGUGAAAUUGGCGCUUCAGCACUUGUGCCUGAGCCUUGGUGACGCGAUCUUAUCCGAUCCUCAUCUCCUUGAGUGCGUUCCACGCCUCUCUUGCCGUCUCGAACUCCGCCAAUGUCAUCAGCACGAAAUCUGGCACAGACUGGGCUAUGGCGGCCAUGGCACCUUCGUCGCGCUCCUCGUCGACGUCGUCGUCUGUGAUGGCCUCCCACACUCGAAGAGAUCGGAGAAUAAUCUUCAUCUUCACCUCCCACACGCCGUAGUUGGCGUCGGUGAGCAUCGGGUACUGGAUGGGGAUGUUGCGAUGCGCCUGGACGUUGGCGCCGCUCGUUCCUCCACCACUCGUUGCUGACUUGCCGCCCUUCUUCACCUUGUCGCCGUUUUUGUUCGCCUUAGCACCGCCGCUGCCGGACUCGACCGACUCAGCGUCGCUAUCCGUCAUCGUAGAUCGUAGAUCGUCCAGGAUCUAGAUACCAAUUGUUGGCUCUUGAACGUGCGUAUGCAGCUGUACAGGCGUGCCUACGCGAUUCUUGCUUUGGCCGGCUACUUGACGGAACUUGCGUAACUAGCGACACGAAUAAAACUGAUCGAUGGAUUUGAUGGCUAAAGGCCCGUGUCGAGCCUUUGCUUUGUAUUGCUUUUUGUUUUUCUGGUGUUACAAUCAACACCCCUAGGGUGUCUUUUAUACACGUCCACAAGGGACUAUGGAAAUAGACUAGGACUAGGAAUCCUAAUACUACUAGGACUCGGUUUGGCUUUCUUUCCUAAUCCUAAAGAAACAACAUGAUUAACUUCUACAGGGCCAAAAUAAUUAACAUAUACUUGACAAAUAACAGAUCUGGCUUAGUACUGAGUCUAGCAAUGACAAAUCAUACCAAAUCUCUAUAUGGUUGAAAACUACAUAGCAGCAAAUCUGGCUUACUACUGAGUCUAGCAAUGACAAAUCAUAGCAAAUCUCUGUACACGCAGCAGAUCUAAAUCAUAACAACAACCGGGGCGAAAAAUGGGC
rnacentral:lncRNA from 1 species